GGCAGAUGUGGCUUAGGGGUUAAGGCUCUGGGUUACUGAUCGGAAGGUCGGGGGUCAGGGUUCAAGCCCCAGUGCUGCCA